ACCUCCUGAACGCAUUAUAAACUGUCUCGAAGCAUUCCAAAGAAAGUUUGUUAAAGAAAUUCUUAGACUACCAGACAACACAGCCAAUGCGGCAGUAUAUCUUCUAUCCGGACUUUUACCGAUCGAAGCACAAAUUCACAUACAGGCACUGACCUUCUUACAUACUAUAUGCUCGCAAGAUAGAAACAGUAUUGAGUGGGCGCUACUUGAACGUCAGAUUAGCUUUAAAUCAGUUGACAGCUCAUCCUGGUUCAUACAAGUUCAGCAUAUAAUGUGGAAGUACGAGUUGGGGACUGUUGCUGACUUAGCUGACAACACACCCAAGAAGGGAAAAUGGAAGACACGUGUACUCAAGGCGGUUCAUAGCUACUGGAGUGAUCAAAUAGACAGUUUAACACCCUUAUAUUCUACAUUGUUUUUCCUGAGACAAGAUAAGUAUGUGCCUGGUAAGAUUCUCCCUUUGCUCUCAUUGGAAUAUACGGCCAGAGAGUCAGAACGGUUAAAAACAAAGGUACGGUUACUCACAGGGACUUACAUGCUCCAAACAAAACGUAAGAACUUUAACCAGUAUGACAUAAACCCAACAUGUCAGAUGUGUGGUGAAGAGAACGAAACCGCAGAACAUUUUGUGCUCAAGUGUAGUGCCCUACAUAGUGUUAGACAGUCAAUUAUGGUAGACAUAGAACGACAGUGGGGGGCGAUAACAGAGACUUCAUUUAAUACUUUACCCGUAGACGAACAGCUCUACAUACUCAUCAACAGUUGGCCAACUUUAAAGACUUUCCUGAAAACCCAUUUGUCUUCAGAAUUUCACGAGUUUGAGAAGCAUUGUGGACGGUUGUUGUACGGUCUGGACAGGACACGUCAGUUGCUCUUGGUGACCAAUGCAAGCCAGCGACCACCCCGUACCAAACACACACAAAAAACAAACUAAAGAAGGGCAUAAUUCUUAAUUAAACUGGCAAUAGUGUUUAUUGGGUAUUUUUAUUCAAGGCAAUACAAUUCUAAUGUAUGUACAGAAGCACUCUCCGGCCUUCCGUAAAUUCAUUUAAUGAUUUAUUUUUAUUUUUAUCUCAUUUAAUAUUUUAACAACUAAUGAAAAAUCGCGCGUACAGUUCUAAGUCGCAUAUAUUCGCGAUUAGUGGAUAGACUUAUAUUCUAGUGAAAGGUGUGUGAUUUAAGGAGUGAAUAGUGUGAACGUGUAAUAUAGUGUUUAUAUUCGGUGGAGGAUUAUUCACUGUCUACAAACGAUUGUUUGGUUCCUCUACAAAGGGGGUUCAAGAAGAACACAGAACAGAACAGAAUGGCGGAGGCUUCGAAAUCUACAAUGAGCGAACCAGCCAAAACAGAGGGAGAGAUGAGAAGAAGUAAACGUGUGAGACAGCCAUCUAAGAGAAUGUUGUUGUAUUUUCAGGACACAGAUUCAGAUUCAAGUCUACAGAAGGGUAAAGGAAAACGUCCUGCCAGAAAGUUGAUACAUUAGCAACAACAACUAAGGGGACAUUGGAACACCAUAGCACGUCUGACAAUGAACCUAUACUGGCUUUUGUUCCUUCAAGUUCUCAUGAGUCUGAAGGAGAAACACUCAGUGAGAGAGAGGAUGAUUUAAGAACCAAAUGAAAGGGAAGGAAAAGAGGAAGUAAGAAAGUGAAAGGGCGCUGUUAUGUCCAUGAAGAACAAGAAAAAAAUCUAAGG